AGCGAACGCUGGCGGCAGGCCUAACACAUGCAAGUCGAGCGCCCCGCAAGGGGAGCGGCAGACGGGAGAGUUACAAGUGGGAACGUGCCCUUUGGUUCGGAACAACCCAGGGAAACCUGGGCUAAUACCGGAUAAGACCUUCCGGGGUAAGAUGCCUCGCCGAAGGAUCGGCCCGCGUCUGAUUGGCUAGUUUGUGGGGUAAUGGCCCACCAAGGCGACGAUCAGUAGCUGGUCUGAGUGGAUGAUCAGCCUCACUGGGACUGAGAAACGGCCCAGACUCCUACGGGAGGCAGCAGUGGGGAAGAUUGGACAAUGGGCGCAAGCCUGAUCCAGCCAUGCCGCGUGGGUGAUGAAGGCCCUAGGGUUGUAAAGCCCUUUCGGCGGGGAAGAUAAUGACGGUACCCGCAGAAGAAGCCCCGGCUAACUUCGUGCCAGCCGCCGCGGUAAAAC
rnacentral:rRNA from 1 species